rnacentral:rRNA from 1 species
GAUAAACGCUGACAGAAUGCUUAACACAUGCAAGUCGAUGAUGGGAGCUAGCUUGCUAGAAGAAGUCAUGGCGGACGGGUGAGUAACGUGUAAAGAACUUACCAUAUAGACUGGGAUAACAGAGGGAAACUUCUGAUAAUACUGGAUAAGUUAGUAGUAGCAUUACUAAGUAAUGAAAGGUAGCAAUACGCUAUAUGAGAGCUUUGCAUCCUAUUAGCUAGUUGGUGGGGUAAAAGCCUACCAAGGCGAUGAUAGGUAGCCGGCCUGAGAGGGUGGACAGCCACAAGGGGACUGAGAUACGGCCCUUACUCCUACGGGAGGCAGCAGUGGGGAAUAUUGGACAAUGGAGGCAACUCUGAUCCAGCAAUUCUGUGUGUGUGAAGAAGGUUUUAGGACUGUAAAACACUUUUAGUAGGGAAGAAAGAAAUGACGGUACCUACAGAAGAAGCGACGGCUAAAUACGUG